UCCCGGUUAACCCGGGCAGUCUCACUAGAGUUCCCACCUUUACGUGUUGGCAACUAAUGAUAAGGGUUGCGCUCGUUGCGGGACUUAACCCAACACCUCACGGCACGAGCUGACGACAGCCAUGCAGCACCUGUGCAGAGACCCCGAAGGGAAACGACAUUUCUGCCGUCGUCCUCUGCAUGUCAAGUCUGGGUAAGGUUCUUCGCGUUGCAUCGAAUUAAACCACAUGCUCCACUGCUUGUGCGGGUCCCCGUCAAUUCUUUUGAGUUUCACCCUUGCGAGUGUACUCCUCAGGCGGUAUACUUAUCGCGUUUGCUACGGCACAACCAGGGUUGAGUCCGGUUACACCUAGUAUACAUCGUUUACGGCAAGGACUAC
rnacentral:misc_RNA from 1 species